rnacentral:rRNA from 1 species
UACGGAGGGAGCUAGCGUUAUUCGGAAUCACUGGGCGUAAAGGGUGCGUAGGCGGGUCUUUAAGUCAGGGGUGAAAUCCUGGAGCUCAACUCCAGAACUGCCUUUGAUACUGAGGAUCUUGAGUUCGGGAGAGGUGAGUGGAACUGCGAGUGUAGAGGUGAAAUUCGUAGAUAUUCGCAAGAACACCAGUGGCGAAGGCGGCUCACUGGCCCGAUACUGACGCUGAGGCACGAAAGCGUGGGGAGCAAACAGG